UUAAAUGUAAUUGACUUUAUUUUCUGCUUGGUUUCCUUCUAUGCUGUGAUUUCUGUGUUAUUUAUUCUUUCACAACGAAAAACGAUUUGAACCAAAAAUACUGUUUAUGUAGCAUUAAUUAUGAGUUAAUAAACUAAACUAAAGCUAUAAACACCUUAAUAACUCCUAAUGCACUCAUGUGAACACUUUGAUGUGCCGACUUUGCUGUUUUAGUGUCAUGGUCCCUCCAGGAGUCCUCCCCCCUCCCGUCGCUGCUGUGCUUCUCAGAUUGGAUCCAGCUGUUGGCACUCACCUCAUCAUCCAGCCUGCUACUUAAGAGAAACCUCUACCAGCAUUCUUUGCCAGACAGAUUCCACGUGUGCCAACCUGGGUCCUACCUCCACACGAGCCUGCUGAAAAUCCUCAGAGAUCCAAAACUUCCAGCCAAGGCACGACUCCGAGCCACGGCAAGACUCCACACCACGCAACUUCUCUCAACCUCUCCUCAAGAGUUGCUAUGCCGUUGGAUAUACAUCAUCCAUACCUACCCAAUGGUCUUCAUCCGAUUACCAUCUACAGACUGGGACAAUAUGUCAUUAAAUCCAGUUCGAUCUCCUGUUGUCCUGUUGACAUUUAGACUUUUAAAACAAAUUGACGCACACACAAAAAAGAAACAAAAUCAGUUUCCUGCUUGGCAAGUUUCAGUUUGUUUCCAAUUUUUCUUCAUAAUAAUCUUAGUUCCAGAAAUGUGCGCUCAGUUUUGAAAUUGUCUUGAAAUAAUCCAGACUGAUCACAGGUAUUAAUAUGGUUCAAUUUUGUGUUUGCAGUGAUGAGAAAAUUAUAAAUAUAAGUUUUGAAAUCAUUGUUGCGCAAAGCAUCUGACUGAUCACGUGAUAUGGAUUGAACAGCUGAGCGUGCUGCGUCAUUUAUUUAAUGGCGACGCACGCACUUCAUUCAGGAAAAGCAUCGGCGAGACACAAGCCUUGUCAGUCCGUGCAUAAAGCUUGUUUCGUACCUGUGUGCAAUUGAGUGGUCCAUAUUAAUUUGUUGAAGAGGCAGCCGGUAAGAAAAGACUUUAUCCAAGCGCUAAGAUUGCGCGAUCACUUGUUUCCUUGUUUGUUUGGUGUGUUGUGGGACCGGAGUGUGCGCUCCGCAAAUGUUUGUGUGUACUUCAGGUACCAGUGGGAAUUUUCUGCAUUAAGGAUUAGAUGUUUAUUUCGUCGGUGUGCUUUGUAACUUUUGUAAAUUUACACUGGGAAGUUCUUUAUGAAUGUGAAUUUUUGCUAAAUAAUGAGAUUUUAAAGUAAUUCUUGAAUAAAUUUGGAAUUAAUACAUGAACUUAAAUAAGAAUGUUAUUAAAGUAAAUGAGUAAUGUUGCUAAUUAACUGAGGCACUUUAAAUUGCAUAAAUGUUUGUUGUUAAUGUGUAUGUUGAAUUUUGUAAUAUUUAUUACUGUUAUUGUGUGUGUUUAAGGUUUUUACCUAUUGAUUGCUGCCAGAUCAAAUGGAAAUAAAUUAAAGUUUGGAAAUUGAUCUC